UAACGCGUGGAUAACCUGCCGUAUACCGGGGGAUAACACUUANAAAUAGGUGCUAAUACCGCAUAAGCGCACGGCUCCGCAUGGGGCAGUGUGAAAAACUCCGGUGGUAUACGAUGGAUCCGCGUCUGAUUAGCUAGUUGGCGGGGUAACGGCCCACCAAGGCAGCGAUCAGUAGCCGGCCUGAGAGGGUGGACGGCCACAUUGGGACUGAGACACGGCCCAAACUCCUACGGGAGGCAGCAGUGGGGAAUAUUGCACAAUGGGGGAAACCCUGAUGCAGCGACGCCGCGUGAGUGAAGAAGUAUCUCGGUACGUAAAGCUCUAUCAGCAGGGAAGAAAAUGACGGUACCUGACUAAGAAGCCCCGGCUAACUACGUGCCAGCAGCCGCGGUAAUACGUAGGGGGCAAGCGUUAUCCGGAUUUACUGGGUGUAAAGGGAGCGUAGACGGCAGCACAAGUCUGGAGUGAAAUCCCGGGGCUUAACCCCGGAACUGCUUUGGAAACUGUGCGGCUGGAGUGCAGGAGGGGUAAGCGGAAUUCCUAGUGUAGCGGUGAAAUGCGUAGAUAUUAGGAGGAACACCAGUGGCGAAGGCGGCUUACUGGACUGUAACUGACGUUGAGGCUCGAAAGCGUGGGGAGCAAACAGGAUUAGAUACCCUGGUAGU
rnacentral:rRNA from 1 species